rnacentral:rRNA from 1 species
GACGAACGCUGGCGGCGUGCUUAACACAUGCAAGUCGAACGGAAAGGCCCUGAUUUUGUGGGGUGCUUGUGUGGCGAACGGGUGAGUAACACGUGAGUAACAUGCCCUUGUCUUUGGGAUAACUCCAGGAAACUGGGGCUCAUACCGGGUAGGAGCUCCUGCUGCACGGUGGGGGUUGGUAAGUUUCGGCGGUUGGGGCUGGACUCGCGGGUUAUCCGCUUGUUGGUGGGGUAGUUACUUACCAAGGCUUUGACGGGUAGCCGGCCUGAGCGGGUGACCGGCCACAAGGGGACUGAGAGACGGCGCAGACGCCUACGGGAGGCAGCAGUGGGGAAUAUUACACAAUGGGCGGAAGCCUGAUACAGCAACGCCGCGUUCGGGAUGACGGCCUUCGAGUUGUAAACCGCUUUCGCCUGUAACGAAGCGUGAGUGACGGUAAUGAGUAAAGAAGCACCGGCUAACUACGUG